AGAGUUUGAUCCUGGCUCAGAAUCAACGCUGGCGGCGUGCCUAACACAUGCAAGUCGAACGAGAAAGUGGAGCAAUCCAUGAGUAAAGUGGCGCACGGGUGAGUAACACGUGACUAACCUACCCUUGAGUGGGGGAUAACCUGGGGAAACCUUGGCUAAUACCGCAUAACACCUACGGGUCAAAGGAGCAAUUCGCUUAAGGAGGGGGUCGCGGCAGAUUAGUUAGUUGGCGGGGUAAUGGCCCACCAAGACAGUGAUCUGUAUCCGGCCUGAGAGGGCGCACGGACACACUGGAACUGAAACACGGUCCAGACUCCUACGGGAGGCAGCAGUGGGGAAUUUUGCGCAAUGGGGGAAACCCUGACGCAGCAACGCCGCGUGGAGGAUGAAGUCCCUUGGGACGUAAACUCCUUUCGACCGGGACGAUUAUGACGGUACCGGAAGAAGAAGCCCCGGCUAACUUCGUGCCAGCAGCCGCGGUAAUACGAGGGGGGCGAGCGUUGUUCGGAAUUAUUGGGCGUAAAGGGUGCGUAGGCGGUUCGGUAAGUUUUGUGUGAAAUCUUCGGGCUCAACUCGAAACCUGCACAAAAUACUGCCGGGCUUGAGUGUGGGAGAGGUGAGUGGAAUUUCCGGUGUAGCGGUGAAAUGCGUAGAUAUCGGAAGGAACACCUGUGGCGAAAGCGGCUCACUGGACCACAACUGACGCUGAUGCACGAAAGCUAGGGGAGCAAACAGGAUUAGAUACCCUGGUAGUCCUAGCCCUAAACGAUGAUCGCUUGGUGUGACGGGUACCCAAUCCCGCCGUGCCGCAGCUAACGCGUUAAGCGAUCCGCCUGGGGAGUACGGUCGCAAGGCUGAAACUCAAGGAAUUGACGGGGGCCCGCACAAGCGGUGGAGCAUGUGGUUUAAUUCGACGCAACGCGAAGAACCUUACCUGGGCUCGAAAUGAAGUGGACCGGAGUAGAAAAUAUUCCUUCCCCGCAAGGGGCCGCUAUG
rnacentral:rRNA from 1 species